rnacentral:rRNA from 1 species
CAGCAGCCGCCACGGGAAUACAGAGGGUGCAAGCGUUAAUCGGAAUUACUGGGCGUAAAGCGCGCGUAGGUGGUUUGUUAAGUUGGAUGUGAAAUCCCCGGGCUCAACCUGGGAACUGCAUCCAAAACUGGCAAGCUAGAGUAUGGUAGAGGGUGGUGGAAUUUCCUGUGUAGCGGUGAAAUGCGUAGAUAUAGGAAGGAACACCAGUGGCGAAGGCGACCACCUGGACUGAUACUGACACUGAGGUGCGAAAGCGUGGGGAGCAAACAGGAUUAGAUACCCCCGUAGUCCCUGUCUCUUAUAC